UACGUAGGGUGCGAGCGUUAAUCGGAAUUACUGGGCGUAAAGCGUGCGCAGGCGGUUAUGUAAGACAGUUGUGAAAUCCCCGGGCUCAACCUGGGAACUGCAUCUGUGACUGCAUAGCUAGAGUACGGUAGAGGGGGAUGGAAUUCCGCGUGUAGCAGUGAAAUGCGUAGAUAUGCGGAGGAACACCGAUGGCGAAGGCAAUCCCCUGGACCUGUACUGACGCUCAUGCACGAAAGCGUGGGGGAGCAAACAGG
rnacentral:rRNA from 1 species